UACGGGGGGGGCAAGCGUUGUUCGGAAUUACUGGGCGUAAAGGGCUCGUAGGCGGCCAACUAAGUCGUACGUGAAAUCCCUCGGCUUAACCGGGGAACUGCGUCUGAUACUGGAUGGCUUGAGUUCGGGAGAGGGAUGCGGAAUUCCAGGUGUAGCGGUGAAAUGCGUAGAUAUCUGGAGGAACACCGGUGGCGAAGGCGGCAUCCUGGACCGAUACUGACGCUGAGGAGCGAAAGCCAGGGGAGUAAACGGG
rnacentral:rRNA from 1 species